UCCAUGUAAACAAAAAAAACGGACAAAAUGCUGUAUGGUUAAGUCUCACUUUAUUGCUUCUUCAAAUAUUUGGGUUCAAGAGGAUUGUUUUUAGCUUUGAUUGCACUAUAACAGCGUGUGUACGAAGCAGGAAAUAACUCAUGUCAUGCAGCAGUACAGAUUAUCAGAGGAAAAGGCCAGUUCAACGUCGAGCCAGCGUCGCAUCAACCAAUAUAGUUUGAUUAGCACAUCAUACAGCUCGACGUAUGAAUCAAUUGAGUUCGGUACGACUUACGACUGUAUAGUACCAGUAGUACGGCAGUGGUAUUCAAACGCCUAGGUAUCGUCGUGCCGAACAUAACACGAAGUCUUUUCCAAAAUUCCCAUGUCAGAAUUCUCAACCAUUGGAACACAACUACUUAAUGUCUAAAAGACGACUGCACCUACAUGUAUUUGAUAGAGAUGCAUGGGACCAUUGUCUCUAUAAGUUCCAAUGGAUUGUACUCCUUUCGUGAUUCUUACAUAAGAUCUAAUGUAUAGAGUUAAUGCACUAAAACCGUGAAACAAAUAGUACUAAUUACGUAUAUAAUAGUAUUGAUUAGACAAAGGAAUUACCAUAGUUUUUACCAUUUUGCAAUAUAAAAGAAAAGCUUCACGGAUUAAGUGUUUUCACUCUAAUACGAAUGUUAUUGCUAAUAUAUCAAUAAUUGUUCUAUAUUCUGCACAUGCUAGAUGGUAUGUUUUAAGAAAUAAAUAAAUAAAUUCUCGAUCAUGUUCAGUAACCAUUCACAAAAUCAGUUACAUCUCCUCCAAGAGAAACCAACAAAUUAUACAAGGUAAUUUGAAAAUUUUAAAAAUUAUUAUUUAUUGUUUUCUGUUGUUAAGUUAAAUUAACACUAUUUUGUAGUAAAUAAUUAAGUUUGUACUCUACACUCAAUCAAGGACUGAAUGUUGCUCAGGCCAAAGAGAGAGUCAUAAUAGCAGUUUAAAAAAAUAUCAGUCAAGGACUGCAUGUGAUUCAGGCAUAGGAGAAAUGUAAUAGGAACAUAGAGCUCUAGAAUAGGACAUAAGACAGAGUGCAAUUUGAAGUCUCCAUAUUAUUUGCAAAAUAAGAGAUAGUAAACUAAGAUAAUUAGGACCUUGUAAGGACCUUAGGACCUUAUGUAUAUGUAUAAAAUAUGAGUGGGAGACCUUUAUGGGCAUAUAAAAGUGUGAGCUACAAGGGAAGAGCCCAUGAAGGUCGUACACAAUUAUUUUAUAUUGCUAAUCAAAUUCCAACAUAAGUUAAAGCAUAUUUCAAUAAAACUUCAGGAUAAAAUA